GCUUUCAGCUUUAAAUCAAUAUGUAAUCCAAGGACUUUUAAUGUUUACCCCAAAGUUAAGUAUUUAUUGACUGGUUUAAACUAUAAUCGUGAGAUUUCAUCACCAGUUUGGAUGCAAGCGCACAACCUGACCACUAGGUGUCGCCCAGAGCCCGCUGAUGGAGCCCAGUGUGCCCAGAGAACACCAGGUGGCUGGGAUUAGCGGGCUUUUAAGAUCCAGCAGUGGCGCUGUGUGGCUAAAGCCUGCUGUACUGUAUGCGCACUUCAGGCCUGGAAAAAAAAGAAAGAAAGAAACGAAAAAAAGGCCCACACAGAAACUGAUCAACAGCUGAGUGCAACUGCAACUGUUUCUGCAUAGUUUCCUUCUUCCUGCCACUCACCACCACACAAUCCGCUCCAGUUGGCCCGUUCAGUGGAUGUUGAGUGUAAACAUUCACCGUUUUAACCGCUUCCCACAGUCUGCUGUACACAGAGCAGACCAUAGUGGCACAGUGAGCACAGAGACAGCGGGGAAAUACCCAGCAGCGCGAGGAGUGUGCAGCUGUCAAAUAUUUGAUGAGACCAAGAGAGUACAGGAGAUGAAGCAGCUGGAUCUAAAUAAAACAGGAAGAGUCGGUGAUGCAUGUUGGCAUGAAGAGAAGGCAGCAAAGCUACAACUUUCAGUGGACCUCCUAGUGUGGCAAGGAGCCUAGCAGCUUUUUUGCACGCAGCCACAGUAGGCUUAAAAACACAGGAUACAAACAGUUGUGGUGAUGAGUCAUACUUCAUAGGAACGGCUUAUCAAGGCCAGAGUCGUUAGACGCUUUCCCGCUCUAUUUAAUUGUGUCCAGGUCUCAUAAAGUGGAGUCACUUUAACUUAACCGAGGCAGCAGUGCAAGUUAAUAAACGUCUCACCUUCCAGAAAGAUAAAAACUAUUGAUCCUCAGGUCUCGAAAGAGAAUGAUCUGUUAUGGCGCUAGUUUUAAUUACAUUUGUUUUAAUUGCUCACAUUGAUUUUUUUUUUUUUUUCCCACAUAGAGCUGCCAUUUAAUCCAACUCAUCUUACUCCUGCUCUAUCAGCUUAAAUCUCACACGUUUUUUUUUGUUUUUUUAAACACGUAACCUGUACACAAUACAAAACCAAUUUAUUAAAAAAAAUGUUUAUUGACAUCAGAAGCAAUUUAAUUUUCAACAAUAAACAAGGCUUUUUUUUGUCUUAUUUUGCUAUUACAGUGGUACAUAAAGAUCAGUAAAACAACUGUGAUACGUCAAUUUUGAUAACAUGUCAUUUAAAAUAAAAACACACAGGUGAAGGAGGGAAAAAAAGGAGGAGAAGAAGAAGAAACACUCAGAUCUAACUCAGAACAUUUUUAUGUGCUGUGCACCUCUAGCUAAGGUAAAUACUGUAAAGCCCACCCCUUUACACUGUACCAGGCAGGAUAGUGGUCUAGUAACUACCACUGGGGAAAAAAAAAAAAAA